rnacentral:sRNA from 1 species
UCCGAUCACGAGGUGAGCCCCCUGAGGCGGC